UAAGUAAGUGGUGGAAAUUAAACCAAAUGGGAUAUCUUUAGUAAUUGCGAAUGAACAAGGAUAUGCUUAGCUUGACAAAUGGAGCUAUUGGCUUUGAAUUGUAUUGUGGAAAUGUAUUACCAACAGAGGUGCAGGUGCCAGCCUAUUGAAAUAAAGCGUCAAUGAGGGUGAGAAUCCUGUUUGUCAUGUGCAGCCCUUUGUGCACGGUGUAUAUUUGCUGAGUCACACUCCUUGGCAUUGGAAUGCAAAGUGGGUGGUAAGUUUCAUGUAAAGGUAAACAUGCAAUUGAGACUGAUAGCACACAAGUACCAUGAGGGAAAUAUGAAAAAGGACUUUGAAAAGAGAAUUAAAUGAGUUUGUAUUUGCUGAACACAAAGUAAACAGACUUGAUUUGCUUGGUGGGAGUGUUGCACUUGCUUGACAAGAGCUUUGGGCUGUGGGUGUAAUGAUUCUUUCUUUGCAUGCCAGUUUCUAUUUGUACAUCUGAUUACCUUUGCACAUGAAUGAUAAGUCUCCUGUGGGGGGUGGAUUGCAUGUGCAUGUAAUGAUUUGUGUUUUGAUAAAUGUGUCUGGUGUAUGUGUGUGUUCCUGUGCUUGGGGAUGCUUCCUUCCUUGGACUUACAAGCCCUGACACACACAUGCUGGCAAAAUGCUUCUGCUUGACCCG
rnacentral:rRNA from 1 species